CGACGCGCCUGCGCGUUGUGCCGCCGGCUCCCAGCUCAGCGCAAGAUGGCGGCGGGCGCGUCGGACCCGCUGGAGGAGAUGCUGCUCUUCUCGGGGGAGGUGGACGAGAAGGCGGUCAGCGACCUGGUGGGCUCCCUGGAAUCGCAGCUGGCCGGCGGCCGGGGCGCCGCCGAGGUGCCCGCCAGCAGGACCCCGCCGCCGCCGCCGCCGCAGCCGCCGGGCAGCCUGGCGGGGGGCAGCCGCAGCCCGGAGCCGCCGCAGCCCGGGCGUCCUGCGCCUCCGCGCCCCGCUGCGCCUAGCUCGGCCCCCGCGCGGGGGCCGUCUUCGUCCUCGUCCCCGCCGGCGGCGGCGGCGGCGGCGGCGGCGGCAGGCGGGAGGGGAGCGAGUGUAAACAGUAGUAGUGUGCAGCAAUCACAUGGAGCCGCUCCCCUCAGUGCCCCGCCGCCCGUCCCCGGCCCCGCGCCUCUCAGCAACCAUGUGGCUGUCAGCGGGGACAGCCCCGGCCCCGGCUGCAGCCCUCCCGCUGCGGCUGGCAGCGCGCCCCGCUCCGAGGCUGGGGAGGCCGCCGGGGACGGUGCUGCUGCUGCCGCCUCCGCCUCACUUCUCCAGAGACCGCCGGCGGUGCCCAGCGGGAGUGCCGCGUCCUCCAGCGCCUCUGCGGCCAGCCCCAAGCCGGCUUGUGCCCCGGCAGCAGUAACACAAGUUGUCAACCAUCAGAGCCCGGCUGCCAGCCACGGCAAGCCGGACGCCUCCACCGCACAGACUAAGCCCCUUGCACACAACCCCCCACCGCCAGCAGUGAACGCACUCCCGAAUGCUGCCCCUGCUGCCCCUGCUGGCAGCCCUGCCACCCAGCCAGCCCCAAGUUCGGUUGCCAACUGUGUCCCCAUGGCAUCCACCACGGUCACCCUCAACGCGAUAUCUAAGCCCGUGGUGAAUGUUAUAGGGCCACCUGGUCCCGCUGUUGGCAUAGCCAAGCCAGGUGCUGCUGUACCUGUCGUCUCUGCGGUCCCCCAGUCGCUGUCCCCCCGGCCUGCGGUGGGCACUACUCAAAGAAUAGUGGCCCCGCAACUGAUCGUUAGACCGCCUCAGCAGACCACCAUCCAGUUGCCUCCAGGCUUUACUAUACCACCUGGGAUGGUGUUGGUGCGCACUGAAGCUGGACAGCUUGUCAUGGUACCCCAGCAAGCUUUAGCUCAGGCUCAAGUGCAAGCUCAAGUACAAACCCAGGGGCAAGGGCCCACCAGCAUUUCGCCCAGGCUUUCAGUGCCUACAAGUGGCCCAGUUUUUCGUUUAUCAACAGCCCAGCAGCCAACUUCUGUAGCCACAUCUACUGUCCGGCUAGGACUGCCUGUGCAAGCUAAAGUUGUUCAGUCAACUGCUACACCAGUUAGUGUUACAUCUGCUGCAACCCUGCCAGGAGGUUCUACUCUGUCACAUACCACAGUAACAGUAGCUACCACAAGUGCUCAGACUUUAUUUAAAACUACAGUAGCAACUGGAACCUCAGCUUCUCAACAACCUACAGUAAUUUCGGGAGGGCAAACUCAAACCCCAACACAACCCCAAGGUCAGCCUCGAUUACCACUCCCACCUCAUACAACAGCACAAGUACCAGCACAGCCCCAGGUCAUACCUAGUUCCCCUGUACCAGGGACUACAGUUGUAUCACAGGAAAUGCAAGAGAAUGUGAAGAAAUGCAAAAACUUUUUAGCCACCCUUAUAAAACUUGCUUCCCAUAAUUCACCUUCUCCAGAAACAUCCCGUAAUGUGAAAGCUCUGGUUCAGGAUUUGUUGGAUGCAAAGAUCGAUCCAGAAGAAUUUACAGGCCGCCUUCAGUCAGAGCUCAAAUCAUCUCCUCAACCAUAUCUGGUACCUUUCCUUAAGAAAAGUCUACCUGCAUUGAGACAAUCUUUACUGAACAGUCAGCAUUCAGUUUUGCAAGGACAGCCGUCUCAGCAGCCACUUCAACAAACCAAGCUAUCACAAAUUAUACCUCAGUCUGCCUCUGGAAGCAUUUCCUCUGUUGUUGCGACACAGACAAUAGGAAUAAGGCAACCAAACAACAUUUGCACAGUCUCUGUAUCAAAUACAGUGCAGCCUCCUCAGGUUAAGGUGGUACAGUCAAAUCAGAGUUCUCAACUGCAGAUUAUCCAGUCAACAUCUGCUCAAACUGUGAAACGAAACCCUGCCUGCCAGACUACCCAGAUUAGGAUGCCAGUGGUAAUAACUCAGCCCAUUAGACCACAAGGCACAGUAGGGAAGGCACCAACAAUACAAGCCAACAAAAGUCCUGGGGGCGUUGGUGUUCAGGUCUCUGCAAAUCAGAAAAACAAGCUGAAUGACCCUGGAGGUGGUUCUUUCAGAGAUGAUGAUGACAUCAAUGAUGUUGCCUCUAUGGCUGGAGUUAACCUAAAUGAAGAAAAUGCCCGAAUCAUGGCAACCAAUUCUGACUUGGUUGGAACACAGAUACAGUCUUGUAAAGAUGAGCCCUUUCUUGCAGCUAUCCCUUUACAUAAGCGCAUACUAGAAAUGGGUCGAGGAUUAGACUUUCUGUUCUACAAGAUGUCCCAACAUGUAUGGGAAUGGUAACUUCAGUACCACCUGAGAGCUUGGAGUUUGCCUUUCAGGAAAAGGCAGACUCCAUGCUCUAGUGGUGGUACUUAAUGUCACCAACUCUCAAAACAUGCUGGGACAUCUUUGUGGAGGGGGAAGUUAUGUCAAGGAUCUUUAAAGGAAAGAAGAGAAAAGUUGGAAGUCUUUAGGGGGAGAAAAGGAAGACUGAGGCAUGCUGAAGGAGGUGUGCUGUGAGGAGAAGAGAAGACAAAGAACGUAUUGAAUUUGGAAACAAGAAGGAAUCGAGGAAGUAGUAAUCAGUGGAAAAGCAUAAAAAUACAGGAGAAUCCAGGUUUAAAAAAUUCAAAUAGUUUGAUUAUAAUAACUACAGGCUGGAUAUCUGUGAGGGUCAGGGACUACUUUAGGGUUGAGUACUCUUCUACAUGGAAGUAGAAGAAGUGUUUGGAUGUAAUACUAACAGGUGGCCCACACUGAAUUCUUAAGAUUUAUUUGAGACCAUAGAUGUGUCCUGCCUGUGCUCUUCUGCAGCUGCUGCUGAGUAAUAUAAUAUAAAGUAUUUGUUUAGGCAUUCAAAAGCCUUGAAGGAAACAAAAGAAGGACUCAGGUUCAUACACCUUACAUUACAAGUCAGGAUAAAUCUGGUUCUUUAUUCAUAUUUAGAUCUGAAUCUUGCAGUUUCUCCCACACCUGUUGUAGGGGUGACCAGCAAUGAAUAGCUGGAGAAGUUUGGGGACAACAUGAUUCUUAGUCUUGUGUCUCAAACUUACCAGUAUUACAGGGAAGUGAUUUAAGAAAGGAAUGUAAACCUUCAAAGACCAUCGCCAUGACAGGGCUGUUAAGAAUACUACUCUCUGAAGUUGACUGAUCUCUGAGUAAAAUCAUGUUUUUUUUUUACCUCCCUGCUGAACUCAGGACCCUCCAGGAAGCCCAGGAAUUAGGCUUAGGUCACAGGUCAGCAAUGUAUAGUUCACUGCCAGAUCCAACCCAGGGAGCCAUUUUAUCCAGUCUGUGGAGACUUAGGGCUUUAGCAGUGUUUUGGGGUGGGUGGGACUUUGCCUAGGUGCCAGGAAGAAGUGGUGGUAGGUAGCACUGUUACAGGGUGGGUAGCAGUGACUCAGCCCAAGCCAUGGCUGGAGCCAGAGUUGGAAGUGGCCUGUACUUGACGCUGAGCUCUGUUAAAGUGACCCAGCACUGCAGGAUGCUGCCAACCCCUGGCUUAAGCCAUGGACAGAUGUACAGUUAAGUUGUUCCAAAUUCCAUUUCAAUUGGUGCGCUGCCAUAGCCUUUUACCACGUUCCUUCACUCCCUUCAUUUGAGUGCUUCAGAAUUGCUACAAUAGUAUGCAAGGUAUCCUUUCCAUCCAUGGGUGUGAUUUCCACCCCCCUUCUAGACCCAGGGGUUCAAUAGUGGAGAGGCAUGCAUGCAGAGGUUGCCCUGCUCCCUAGGGCUAUCCCCAGGGCUGAAGAGGAACAUUUAUUGCAUGUGUCUCAUGUUCUCAAGAUUGCAGAGGCUGGCUAAGCUCAGCAAACAGUGCUCACUGGUUGACUGCCCCUCUCUUUCCCCCUCCCAACCCAUAGGGGGAAUGGAGAGAGAGCAGAGCACUGUGGGAUACCAAAGAACUGACUAACUCCCUGUCAUACUAGAAAUGCUUCAAAAUGAGGUGCGUUUUAGGCUCUAAAUAUACAAAAAGAAGAGACAAGGUUAGUAUUCCAAAAGGUUUAGGUUUUUGUCCUUAGGCUAUUUUUUUGGUGCAAAUAAAUUCAAUUUGUAGAGAAUCUGAACUUUGCAUCUUUAUUUUCUUGUUUUCGUAUUUAUCCAAUAGUUGCAUGGACAAGAAACUGCGCCUAACUAUUUAUUUUGCUAGAGCCAAAAACUCCCCAACCUCAACUUGCAAGAAGUUGGUGUACUAGGUCCUUGUUCUGGCAGUGCAGCCCUAACACCCUUGCCCACCAUCUGCCCCGAGGUGCAUGUGCACCUGCUGCCAGCACCUGUCACCUGCUUCGAGCUCUGUGACAGGUGGCAGGGGCCAACCCAGAGCCCGGGCUGGCUGUGGUAGGCAGCCAGGAGGCUGCAAGCAGCUGAACUGAGGUCUGUGGAGCCCCAGCCCGGCUCAUUGCUGACAGCGGGUACAUGUGCACCUCAAGGUAGAUGGCAGUGAAGAGUCCAGGGCUGCACUGCCACAACAAGGAUUGGGCCCCUUGCAGCUCCCCCACCAUUGUCCCCAGGUGCUCUUGCACCUGC